rnacentral:rRNA from 1 species
UAGGGAAUCUUCCACAAUGGGCGCAAGCCUGAUGGAGCAACACCGCGUGAGUGAAGAAGGGUUUCGGCUCGUAAAGCUCUGUUGUUAAAGAAGAACACGUAUGAGAGUAACUGUUCAUACGUUGACGGUAUUUAACCAGAAAGUCACGGCUAACUACGUGCCAGCAGCCGCGGUAAUACGUAGGUGGCAAGCGUUAUCCGGAUUUAUUGGGCGUAAAGAGAGUGCAGGCGGUUUUCUAAGUCUGAUGUGAAAGCCUUCGGCUUAACCGGAGAAGUGCAUCGGAAACUGGAUAACUUGAGUGCAGAAGGGGAGAGUGGAAUUCCAUGUGUAGCGGUGAAAUGCGUAGAUAUAUGGAGGAACACCGGUGGCGAAAGCGGCUCUCUGGUCUGUAACUGACGCUGAGGCUCGAAAGCGUGGGGAGCGAACAGGAUUAGAUACCCUGGUAGUCCACGCCGUAAACGAUGAGUGCUAGGUGUUGGAUCCUUUCCGGGAUUCAGUGCCGCAGCUAACGCAUUAAGCACUCCGCCUGGGGAGUACGACCGCAAGGUUG